GAUGAACGCUAGCUACAGGCUUAACACAUGCAAGUCGCGGGGCAGCAUGGGGGUUGCUUGCAAUCCCCGAUGGCGACCGGCGCACGGGUGAGUAACGCGUAUUCAACCUGCCCUUCACCACGGGAUAACCCGGCGAAAGUCGGACUAAUACCGUAUGUUGUCCAUUGACGGCAUCCGAUUUGGACGAAAGGCUUGGCGGUGAGGGAUGGGGAUGCGUCCGAUUAGCCAGACGGCGGGGUAACGGCCCACCGUGGCUACGAUCGGUAGGGGUUCUGAGAGGAAGGUACCCCACAAUGGAACUGAGACACGGUCCAGACUCCUACGGGAGGCAGCAGUGAGGAAUAUUGGUCAAUGGGCGUAAGCCUGAACCAGCCAAGUAGCGUGCAGGAUGACGGCCCUAUGGGUUGUAAACUGCUUUUAUGCGGGGAUAAAGUGGCCCACGUGUGGGCUUUUGCAGGUACCGCAUGAAUAAGGACCGGCUAAUUCCGUG
rnacentral:rRNA from 1 species